CUAAUAUCUGCUGUCAUAAAUAUCCUAGAGUCCAAAGCUCAGCAGUUUGUAGGAGGCAGAAGUGGAUUUAUCAGUCACUGUGCCAGUGCUUGCUUUCCCUUUAUGUAAGCUUCGCUCAACAUUCAAUCUGUCUUCAGGCAGCUGCCAAGAGGGGUUUCAAGUUCAGAGCUCCCAGUGGAAAGAAGAAAGUAAAGGCAGCUUGCACCAGGAUAGAACAGGUGACAGAUACCUCCUGGAAGAGGAGGCAAGGCAGGUUUCCAGGCCAGCUAUUACUCUGCUACCUAAUGAAUGACCUCCAGCUGCCCUUUGAAAAGCCAGC
rnacentral:lncRNA from 1 species